rnacentral:rRNA from 1 species
GACGAACGCUGGCGGCGGGCGGAACACAUGCAAGUCGAACGGAAAGGCCCUGCUUUUGUGGGGUGCUCGAGUGGCGAACGGGUGAGUAACACGUGAGUAACCUGCCCUUGACUUUGGGAUAACUUCAGGAAACUGGGGCUAAUACCGGAUAGGAGCUCCUGCUGCAUGGUGGGGGUUGGAAAGUUUCGGCGGUUGGGGAUGGACUCGCGGCUUAUCAGCUUGUUGGUGGGGUAGUGGCUUACCAAGGCUUUGACGGGUAGCCGGCCUGAGAGGGUGACCGGCCACAUUGGGACUGAGCUACGGCCCAGACUCCUACGGGAGGCAGCAGUGGGGAAUAUUGCACAAUGGGCGGAAGCCUGAUGCAGCAACGCCGCGUGCGGGAUGACGGCCUUCGGGUUGUAAACCGCUUUCGCCUGUGACGAAGCGUGAGUGACGGUAAUGGGUAAAGAAGCACCGGCUACCUACGUG